AUGCACAUGGAGUGGCAAGGUGUUCGUUUGGUGCAAAGCACUGGACUUAAUCGGGAAUAGGGACGGGUUGGACUGAAAACAGCAACCCAAGCCCUAGCCGCCCCCGCGACUGUAUGCGGUGAGCCCUUUCAAAAAGCCACUGGCCCUUGGGCUGGGAAGGCGAAAGAAGGCGACGAUCCGCGAGCCAGGAGACCGGCCGUGCAUAGAAACAACUG
rnacentral:ncRNA from 2 species